CGUGUCCGGGGACAACUGGGCCCGGCUGGAAGCGACAGCGAGGUGGAGGAGAAAGGUUCCGCUCUCACUUUCCCGUGUACAACCUGAGUUUCGGCCCAGGGCCGAUCGCCGACCCCACACCUUUUCCCUUUCCUCGCGGCCGGGAGGGGAGACCGGGAGGCUGCACGCAGCGUCCCUAGCCCAUCUUAGGGUGGUGUCCGCCAACGCCGUCUCCGGGUCCUGCCUGCAUCAAGACGCUGGAGCUGGUACACGGGCUCAGCCAGCGGUAACACCCCACAAUUCUAAGAAAUACAGCAGCAGGUCCAUCUUGACUCCUGGCUGUGGAGCAACCAGUUGGCUCGGGCACGUUCCGCCUCAUCCCUGCACUCCCCUCCAGGAAGCCCCGUGCUGUGAUUACAGAGCAGAAUGAGCGAGAAAGUCAGUGACAUGCUGCAUGCCAACCGCAGCCUCAGUUCUGAGGAAAACGGCUGGACAGAGCUCCACUUGCUGGGGUUUCCGUGUUUCACAUCCCGCGACCCAGUUACUCUGCACAAAGAAAGCAAACUGGAGCAAGAUCGCCACCAACGCCGAAGGCAGCCAUCUGUGGGCCAGCAACUCUGCUAGUGGGGGCCCCUGCUUAUUGCAUGGUGCACCCCACCUGCAGCUGACUCGGGAACACGUGUUCCAAUGACUCCCUCUCACUGAAAACUCUGCUCUUCCCUUCCUGUGCCCCCAAACUGUCUGUUAAUUUUUCCUACUCAGCCCCGCUUCUUCCGGCUACCACACUGUGACUAUAGUGAUUUUUCAUGGUACUGUCACGAGCCCUUAUGUCCUCUUUGAUAGAAAUGGAAAAAAAAACACCUCUCUCACAUAAAGUUGUUUAACAUUAGUAGGUCAUUGAACAGCUGCACAGGUGCCACUUGCGUCCCCACCCCCAUGCCCUCCAGAAGCCAAGGUCCAUGAAGAAGCCACGAGUGGAAGGGCACUAUUACUUGUGUGAGGUUGGCCGUACUCAGAGCUGGUGGAGCACCUGUGCCCAGCGUGCUGCCUUCUGCUGCAUCACCUGGAAGGAAGCACCUGCGGCUGCGCUGCAGGUCUCUCUCCACAGCCCUGCCUGCACGUGCUAGAGAGCAGCGCCGAGCUGAAGGGUUUGGACGUCGGUGCUCUGGUCGCUGAGCACAGCCGGGUGACUACAGCUCGCACCCUGCAGCUCGGACUGACCCACGUGGGAGCUCUCCCUGCCGCCCUGAGAUGGUUCUUCCCGAAAGGAGCAGCCUGUUCCUAAACCAGGAGAGGGCCCUGCACGAAGAGGAGUCUAUCCCAGGAGAAACUGAGGAAACAAAA